CGCACGCAGACUCGAAAAUUUCGCGACGUCCGAACGGAAUCUUGAUGGAUACCGCCCCGUUGUUUAGUUUCAAUCGGUGAUUUUGCCGUCGCCACACUGGCGGACGGCGGACGCAGGUAGAUUUGUUCCUCUCAAGACGAACAUCGCCGCGCUACUGCCAAAGUAUCAAAUUUAAACGCGUGUCUCAAAAUUUAACUAAAUUUAUAUUUUAUACUUGGCCACUACAGAAAGUUCCAGAUUAACUUCACGGACUUAAUUAAUUCAUUAUUACCCAAAAUCCCAUUCUUGGUCCAAUCUGCUAAUAUUUUUAAGAUUUUUAACUUAUACAUGAAUUUGGUCGAUAAUUUUCCAUAUUUUGAUGAGCGUUUGAGGCCACUUUAUCACUUCCCACUGGAUCCGGCAAACACUCACCCGCACAUCCAAAUCAUCUGCACGCGGUGACGUGCUUUGAACAAGACUGUCGAACAAGGUCAGAAAUAAUCAACAGUCGCUGCUGCUUCAUAAAAUACCAAAUGGAGAACGAGAGGCAUCCAUCACCAAAGAGCAGACCACGGAAACUCAAAUUUCAAAAAUAUUUAAGGUUGACACUGCCUGAUUUGAAUCCCGAAAAUAUUGCGUCAAAAACCAACGACCCACGAAGAGGCAACACAAGUGGGACAUCGAAAAAGACUGAAAAAAUCGACCAAAGUGACGAAUCAAGCGACAGUGAGACGUUGAGCAACAAUUUGCAGUCCGUUUUAGAAGACAUCCACCAAAUGGGCCGCGCACUCGGGCUCAGAAAGGACUCAGAUGCUGAAUUCAGCUCGGACAGCGAUUACGAUUCUGAUCACGGCAACAACAACCACAUCAAAAAGCAAUUUUAAAUACGCGAUUUUCGGUUUGAAAUCAAAUUUUAAUAUAAAAUGUUACAUAAGCAAGUAGUGCAUAUUGGAACAACGUGAAUGAAACGACAAUAAUUAUUAUUAUUGAAAUAAAACAAAAUUGAAAUGAAAA